UGUAUAAAGUGGCGAACGGCUGAGUAACACGUGGGCAACCUGCCCCUCUCAUUGGGAUAGCCACGGGAAACCGUGGAUAAUACCGAAUACUUCGGGACUUCCGCAUGGAAGACUCGAGAAAGCUCCGGCGGAGAGGGAUGGGCCCGCGGCCUGUUAGCUUGUUGGUGGGGUAACGGCCUACCAAGGCAAUGAUGGGUAGCUGGGUUGAGAGACCGACCAGCCAGAUUGGGACUGAGACACGGCCCAG
rnacentral:rRNA from 1 species